GCCAACACGAUGUCUGUUCCGCAAAUUUCUCGGGUUAUAUUACGUUUUUUUGUGUGUUUGUGCCGCUAAUAAGUGAGUGUGACCUGUCCUGCCGCGCCAAGGGAGAUAAGGGUGUUACUGCUACCAAGGAGAGCCAGGUUUGGGCAGGUGAUGACGACGAAGGUGACGGCCACACAUCGAUGACUCCCCCUCACCAAGGAGUCUAGAACGUGCAUGACGUGAGUUGCCGUGGACAAGCCUGCCGCCAACAACCUCGCCUUGAGUGUGAGGUCGAGGAAAGGAUGACGACACGGAAAGGGACGUUGGCGCGAGAGGCAGGGUGAGUGUGG